GACGAACGCUGGCGGCGUGCUUAACACAUGCAAGUCGAACGGGUCUGCCCUGUUUUUUGCGGGGUGGGUCAGUGGCGAACGGGUGAGUAACACGUGAGUAACCUGCCCCUCACUUCUGGAUAACCGCUUGAAAGGGUGGCUAAUACGGGGUGUUCUGGCUGUGCCGCAUGGUGUGGCUGGGAAAGAUUCACUUUUGUGGUGUUUUGGUGGGGGAUGGGCUCGCGGCCUAUCAGCUUGUUGGUGGGGUGAUGGCCUGCCAAGGCUUUGACGGGUAUCCGGCCUGAGGGGGUGGGCGGUCACACUGGGACUGAGAUACGGCCCAGACUCCUGCGGGAGGCAGCAGUGGGGGGUAUUGCACAAUGGGCGGAAGCCUGAUGCAGCGACGUCGCGUGAGGGAUGGAGGCCUUCGGGUUGUGAACCUCUUUCGCCGGUGAAGAAGGUCCUGCUCUUUGUGGUGGGGUGGACGGUAGCCGGGUUAUGAAGCGCCGGCUAACUACG
rnacentral:rRNA from 1 species